AACGAACGCCGGCGGCAGGCCUAACACAUGCAAGUCGAACGGUAGCACAGAGAGCUUGCUCUCGGGUGACGAGUGGCGGACGGGUGAGUAAUGUCUGGGAAACUGCCCGAUGGAGGGGGAUAACUACUGGAAACGGUAGCUAAUACCGCAUAACGUCGCAAGACCAAAGUGGGGGACCUUCGGGCCUCACACCAUCGGAUGUGCCCAGAUGGGAUUAGCUAGUAGGUGGGGUAAUGGCUCACCUAGGCGACGAUCCCUAGCUGGUCUGAGAGGAUGACCAGCCACACUGGAACUGAGACACGGUCCAGACUCCUACGGGAGGCAGCAGUGGGGAAUAUUGCACAAUGGGCGCAAGCCUGAUGCAGCCAUGCCGCGUGUAUGAAGAAGGCCUUCGGGUUGUAAAGUACUUUCAGCGGGGAGGAAGGCGGUGAAGUUAAUAACUUCACCGAUUGACGUUACCCGCAGAAGAAGCACCGGCUAACUCCGUGCCAGCCGCCGCAGUAAUAC
rnacentral:rRNA from 1 species